GGGGUUGUGGCUCAGGGGCAGAGCGCUCACAUAGCAAGUGUGAGGCCCUGAGUUUGAUCCUCAGCACCACA
rnacentral:tRNA from 1 species